GUCAUGGAGAGUCUCCAUCCAGCUGGAUCACUGUCACAGAAAAACCUCAAAUUACAUCUGGAGCUUCGCCCCCCGCAAUAUCCCUCCUGCAUUUUGAGUUUACUCUGAUGGGCUACCUGGUGUUUGUUGUUCUGUCCAUAGUACAUCUCCACUCUCCUCAAGGUAACUGAGCUGCCUGCCCCCAGAUGAUAACCAGAUCCACCAAUGGUGAGCAGGAUUUGGGCAAGGAGGUUAAUGAUGUCACCUUAUGGCUCGUGCUAAUCUAUUUCUGUGUUUUUAUCAACUGUUUCCACUUUGCUUUUGUUCUCUGAUCCAGUUCAUAAACUUUUGACUGCAACUCUGUUCCAUAUUUAUUUACGUUUGGCUCUUCUGAUUAGAUUGUAUAUGGGUGUUAAUGCACCCAUCGUUGCUGUUCAUUGUUAGGAUAAAGGAUUUUGAAAAAGUCUUUGUAAAUCAUGAAUUGUAAAUGUUUAACCAAAUUCUGGGUUCUUUGCAAUAGGGGUGGGGUUUCAAUUAUCAAUUUUCCAAUUAAAAUCGAUUCUAGCUUGAAUAACUUGUUAUUGAUUCAUUAAAAUCCUGAAUCAUUUUUAAAUAUA